rnacentral:ncRNA from 1 species
CGACCCCAACUCAGGCGAGAACACCCACUGAGUUUAAGCAUAUAAUUAAGUGGAGGAAAAUAAACUUACAAGGAUUCCCCUAGUAACGACGAGCGAACUGGGAAGAUUCCAGCAUAAAAAUCGGGUGGCAGUGUCGCCUGAAUUGUAGUCUGUAGAAGCAUCCUUAGCGGUGGACCAGGCCCAAGUCCCUUGGGAGGGGGCAACUGAGAGGGUGAUAGCCCCGUCGGAUCGGGACCCUGCCGCACCACGAGGCAUUGUUGGUGAGUCGAGUUGUUUGGGAAUGCAGCCCGAUUCUCGACCGUGGGAGAAACCACCCAAGUGCAGGAAAUUCGGGGUUUCUGAGUCUCGACUGUGGGAGAAACCACCCAAGUGUGGGGGAUUCGGGGUUUCCAAGUCUCGACCGCGGGAGAAAUCGCCAAAGUGUAGGGGAUUCAGGGUUUCUGAGUCCCAACCACAGGAAAAACCACUCAAGUGGGGGGGAUUUGGGGUUUUUGAGUCUCGACCAUGGGAGAAACUGCCCAAGUGCGGGGAAUUCAAGGUUUCUGAGUCUCAACCAUGGGAGAAACCGCCCAAGUGCGGGGAAUUCAGGGUUUUCAUUCGGGAAAACCCAAGUUUGCCUUGCGUUCAGGAGAAACUGACCCAAGGGUUUGCAUUUGAGAAACCCCAAGUUUGCCUUGCGUUCGGGAGAAAUCAACCCAAGUGCGGGGAAUUCGGGGUUUCCAAGUCUCGACCGUGGGAGAAACAGGCCCAAGUGCGGGGAAUUCAGGGUUUCCAAGUCUCGACCGUGGGAGAAACAGGCCCAAGUGUGGGGAAUUCGGGGUUUCUAAGUCUCGACCAUGGGAGAAACUGCCCAAGUGCGGGGAAUUCAGGGUUUCUGAGUCUCGACCGCGGGAGAAACGGGCCCAAGUACGAGGAAUUUAGGGUUUUUGAGUCUCAACCGUGGGAGAAACCGACCAAGUGUAGGGAAUUU